GGAAUCUACCUUUUGCUACGGAAUAACUCAGGGAAACUUGUGCUAAUACCGUAUGUGCCCUUCGGGGGAAAGAUUUAUCGGCAAAGGAUGAGCCCGCGUUGGAUUAGCUAGUUGGUGAGGUAAAGGCUCACCAAGGCGACGAUCCAUAGCUGGUCUGAGAGGAUGAUCAGCCACACUGGGACUGAGACACGGCCCAGACUCCUACGGGAGGCAGCAGUGGGGAAUAUUGGACAAUGGGCGCAAGCCUGAUCCAGCCAUGCCGCGUGAGUGAUGAAGGCCCUAGGGUUGUAAAGCUCUUUCACCGGUGAAGAUAAUGACGGUAACCGGAGAAGAAGCCCCGGCUAACUUCGUGCCAGCAGCCGCGGUAAUACGAAGGGGGCUAGCGUUGUUCGGAUUUACUGGGCGUAAAGCGCACGUAGGCGG
rnacentral:rRNA from 1 species